UAGAACAUAAGCCAUUGUCAAGCACACUAUAGCUGCAAUAAGUACUGCAACAAUUGCAGUGGGUAUCCAGUCUGCCUGCUCUCCAGGAUUACUGCAACAUGAGACAAAUGAAGUGGUCAAAUCCAGCACCAGGUGGUUAGGGGAUUGUUAGACUGAGGCCUAAAGGGCAGUCCAACAUCCUGUCUCUCGAAAAUAGACUAUAACUUUUGGCUUGAUCCUAACAUUAACAUAGAAAACUUUCGGUAUAGUUGUCU